UAAAUUCGGGCCCUGCCCACUGAGGUAAUUGAAGGGCCGCGGUAUUUUGACCGUGCAAAGGUAGCAUAAUCAUUAGUCUUUUAAUUGAAGGCUAGUAUGAAUGGUUUGACGAGAAAUUAACUGUCUCUAAAGAAUAUGUGGAAUUUAACUUUUGAGUUAAAAGGCUUAAAUGUUUAUAAAAGACGAGAAGACCCUAUAGAGCUUUAUAUAUAAGUAGGAUUAUCUUAAUUGGAAGGUUUUAUGAUAAUUUUAUGAUUAUAUUAUGUUGGGGUGACAUGAAGAUAAGUAUAACUCUUUAGAAUCAGGACAUUGAUGUAUGGGUGAUUGAUCCAUUUUUAGUGAUUGUAAGAUUAAGUUACCUUAGGGAUAACAGCGUAAUGUUUUUUGAGAGUUCAUAUCGACAAGAAAGAUUGCGACCUCGAUGUUGGAUUAAGGAAUAUGGUUAGGUGUAGCANUUUAAUUUAUAGGUCUGUNCACCUUUGAAANCCUUACAUGANCUGAGUNCCCC
rnacentral:rRNA from 1 species